UACGGAGGGUGCAAGCGUUGUCCGGAUUUAUUGGGUUUAAAGGGUGCGUAGGCGGCUUUUUAAGUCAGUGGUGAAAUACAGCAGCUCAACUGUUGAGGUGCCAUUGAUACUGAAGAGCUUGAGUACAGAUGAGGUAGGCGGAAUUUAUGGUGUAGCGGUGAAAUGCAUAGAUACCAUAAAGAACACCGAUUGCGAAGGCAGCUUACUAAGCUGUAACUGACGCUGAGGCACGAAAGCGUGGGGAGCAAACAGG
rnacentral:rRNA from 1 species